GCCCGCCUAGCUCAAUCGGAUAGAGCGUCAGACUCUUACGGCGGGUUUCUUCCUUCCCUUUGACAUCUGAAGGCUGCGAGUUCGACCCUCGCGGUGGGCU